GCAGCCGCGGUAAUCCAGCUCCAAUAGCGUAUAUUAAAGUUGUUGCAGUUAAAAGCUCGUAGUUGAAUUUCGGGAUCAAUACGUCGGUCGUGCUUCGGUACGUACUAACGUCAUUGAUUUCUCCCUUCUGACGAAUCGUGAUGUCAUUAAUUUGGUGUUACGGGGAGUUAGGACUGUUACUUUGAAAAAAUUAGAGUGUUUAAAGCAAGCAAUCGCUCGAAUACAUUAGCAUGGAAUAAUGAAAUAGGACGUUCGAACCUAUUUUGUUGGUUUCUAGGGAUCGACGUAAUGAUUAAUAGGGAUAUUGGGGGGCAUUAGUAUUCAAUUGUCAGAGGUGAAAUUCUUGGAUUUAUUGAAGACUAACUACUGCGAAAGCAUUUGCCAAGGAUGUUUUCAUUAAUCAAGAACGAAAGUUAGGGGGAUCGAAGACGAUCAGAUACCGUCGUAGUCUUAACCAUAAACUAUGCCGACUAGGGAUCGGAUGAUGUUAAUUUUAUAAUGACUCAUUCGGCGCCUUACG
rnacentral:rRNA from 1 species